GGUUAGGUGCCCAAACCCCCCUGCAGCUUAGGUGGAAUUGGGGGCGUUGCUGCCUCUGGUUCUGCUGCAUAAAAUGGGACAUGCAUGAAUGCACUUCACUGAUGUCACCAGCCACAACGUGUCCGCAGAUCAGUGACAACGCUUGAAAUAGUGGGCUGACCUCUUCCUGAUCCAGAGCCUUUUUGCUCCGGUGAAUUCUUCUGAUGCACUCAGCCUGACAUAAAUCAUCUGCAGGGCUUUUGCACUGCUCCUUGCCACUUAUUAUUUUCAGUGUGGACAUGAGUGAGGGAGGAGGAGAGACAGAGAGACUGAAGAAUUCUGAGAGCAGAGAAUGCUUGGGCAAAGGAUAGACCAAACAAAAAGGGACUCUGCAGGGCAGAUCUGGAAAGGCCUGGAGAAAGCAUGAUUUCAGAGCCAGAUGAAUUCCCAUCAGCCUGGAAUGCCUUGCAGCCAAUGUCUGAGAUUAAACACUCCUUUCUAAUUGCAGGGGCUAAUUCCAGCAGUAUCAAACUGAAGUCCACCAUUUCUGGACAGCAACUCCAAAAUCUGCAAGGUGCUAUGAGCCAUGUACCAGGUCCAAACCCUGCUGAUGUCCCUCUGCAUGGAGCACAGGGGGUUUGAGGCUGGAGGGAUCCCCUUCUCCUGCUGAUCCUCACACGGGGUCGACUCAUGGGAAUGGAGUGCCUGGGAAGCAAGGAGAGGAUCAGACUGCUCCACAGCUCUGCCUCUGGUUCCUUGGCUGUAGCCAGUGUGCAGCAAGGAGAUGUACUCAAUUCAGCCUGCCAACAUAACACCUCCAGAGACUUUCCAUUCACCCUCUAUCUUUUCCCAGUGCAACAUACGCACCUUGAGGCUUUUGUGGACACGCACGUAUAAGAACUCCUUUAAGAAAGUAUACAUGUUAUUUCUCUGGCUCCCUGGACUACAGUAGCAAUUAGGUCAUGCUAAGUUUCAUUGCUUAUCUCUGAGUUGAGGGAACGAGCAGCAGAAGCCAGAUAUUACUUACAUGCAGGGAUUAAGAACAUGACCCCAAAUGAACCCCAUUAACUUGCUCAGCAACUCAAAUGUCAUCAGUCUUAAAAAUCAGUGAACACUGAAUUAUGAAUAGUUUUCAUAAGGAAAGUUUGAGAAAUAUUGAUGUGACUCCUGAGCAGUGGGUUCCACAAUAUUAAUAUGAGCUGUGAAUCUAAUUAGAGCUACACACUCAGCAGAAUAUGGACAAAGACAAGGUUAAAGUAUCACCUUCUGUCUUUCAAAAAGAAUUGAGUGGCUUGCUUGAAAAUUCAUAUUUGAUAUUCCCGAGGUAGGUUAAAAAUGCAAUUACAAAAUAAACUAAUAAAUCCAAAGCUAAAAGGCUAUGUGCAAAGUAGGUGCCCUUCUCUUGUCCACAAGGACAAAAUUUAUUUGACUAAAUUUGAUCUUUCUUUUCUUUUGACAAUCUCCAUGUGCUUCCAUCAAAGGAAGUAACUUUUUUUUCAUCUCUCUAGUCCGACUUCAUCUCUUCCCCAAUUACAUUUGCUUUUUCUUUCAGUCCUGAGUGCAUUUUUACUUUCCCAGUCUUUCAAUAUCUCUACCAUGACCACAUGUAUAUAGCCCCUCUGUUAAAGAAUACAUAGCAUGCCUCUCAACCCCCUUCUAAUACAGUAGAGGAGCUUCUUGUUUGAAACAUUCUACAACAAAAUAGUAAAUGACAAGUAAUUGUUGUGCUUGGUCCUUUCUGUUGCUGGUGGGCAGUGGGAGAGGCUUUUCCCGGGAGGCACAAUUACUGGCACAACAUAGCACAAGUCUUACAAGCUGUGGUGUGGCCCUGCUGCCUUGGGAGAACAAAGAUGUAAGCAUUCACUAUACAUGUCCCAGCCCAUGAAUACCUAAGGUUGUUACAGUAAACGGGAUAGGAGGAAAUUAGAUUAUAAAUGGUGACUUGUUUUCUUACCAAUUGCCCACAAUAAACAUAUUUACAAUUCAGUGGUGUAAGAAAUUAUGGAUGUUCAAGAAAAGCCUGUUUGUAUCUCAGGCGUGGUGAACAAUGGGUGAAAUUCAGCCCCAUGUUGAAGUCCAUUAGAAUCAAUGGAGUUUCUUCUUCUUUGGGCUAUCAUUAAAGGCCAGUUGUGUCAUCUCUACCUCCAGACUGCUGAUGUGGAGCAGCCACAGUGGGUGUGCUGUUGGCUUGGUGGCUGUGCUGGUGCUACUUUUUCUGAUGGGGCACAUCAAGCAGCACCCACGGAAUCAGGGAGGGACAUUCCUGGGACCCCCCAACAGCAUUUUUCUGCAUGGUACCUCUUCUCUCCAAGGGCUCACCUUCAGUUUAACGAAGGAGAUGCCAAAUACCACC